rnacentral:misc_RNA from 1 species
UUAUAACUUUUUGAUAUAACAUCCAAAUCCAUAGGAGCGAUAAAAAAAAAGACGGUGCACAGGUGAGUGAAAAAUGAUUUCGGGCCUCGAUGAAGGAGCGCCCAUGUAAUCACUAAUGAUCCUUCCGCAGGUUCACCUACGGAAA